AAAAAAGGUGUUAAAAGAACUAAUAAAUAAAUAAUAACCCCAAGUGUAAUCCUACUUGUAUAUGAAAAUUUAAACCAAUCUUAUUAUAAUAUAAACUCCUAAUUCUAUAUGGAAUUUUAUCUUUAUAUGUAAAUCUAAAGCCCAUUACCAUUGAAUUACUAUUGACUAAAAUGUCUGUGUAUACUGACGAAAGCAAAAUUAAGUGGAAAAAUUGCAUGUGAAUUUAUGCUUUGAUUUCAUUAUUAUAUUUAUU
rnacentral:misc_RNA from 1 species